UUAUAUGUUCAUAACAUUAUACAUUGUUUAGUUAAGUUGAACAAGUGACAUAGAUAUUCAAUAUAAUGACUAAAAACUAAUAAGGUGUAAUUUUUAGAUGGGACAUUAUUGUAGCAAGGCUGCAGUAAGUUAAUACCAUAGUCAUCUUAGCACCAAGUCUCUGAACACAGCAAAACAAAAACAAAAAUCUAUUUUUUUUUGCUCAUUACGAAUUUUGAGUGGAGGGGCAGGUGUAUAAAACAGGGAUGACUUUUUUUUUAAAUUUUUUUGCUCAGUACUGGAUAGAUCGGUAUACUUUUGUUAACUGCUGUCAAAAUUCCUCUGUUAGCCACUGUAAAUACAUGCUUAAAAUAAGACAUGGUAGAGUUAAUUUUUCUUAGUCCCCUUCAUUGUUUUCUACUCCUCAAAAAACUAAAAUAACAAAUAUAAUAGAAAUAACAAGCCAAAAUUUAAAAAGGAAAUGUAAUUUGAUCGAAAUAGAUACACCUUGACAAAUAAAUUUAAAAUAAACAUUAAAACCAAAUAAUUCAUAAAAAAAAAAUAAAUAUCACAUCUCAAAAUUAAAAAAAAAGAGUUAGUACAUUGAAGAAUACUC